AACGCACAUUGCGCCCUUUGGCAUUCCAAGGGGCAUGCCCGUUCGAGCGUCAUUAACACCACUCAAGCCUAGCUUGGUAUUGGGCGUCGGGGACUCCCCCGCGCCUCCAUGUCGCCGGCUGGCCGUCGUCUGACUUAGCGUUGUGACACAUGUCGCUGAAGAAGACGCCGGAUCACGCCGUGAAACCCCUUGAAUGUUCAUCGAAUGUUCAGUACAGGUUGACCUCGGAUCGGGUAGGAAUACCCGCUGAACUUAA
rnacentral:misc_RNA from 1 species